AAAGAAAAUGCAGGCAGGUGGCACAUUAGUGACCACCCUCCAGAGCCCAGUGCCUAUGAAUACUCAGCAGCUCCAAGGCUGAGACCCUAACCAACUGUGAAGAUGGAUCUGGCAUCCCAAGGCUCACCUGACAGGGAGAGGCAGGGAUCGUGACUUCUAAAACCAGAUUAAUAACCCUCUUCAAAGAAAUGGUAUGUGACAGAAAGGAUAUGAUACGGACAGAGGUAUGAGAAAGGUCAAAAUUCCUACAGCAUCCAAAAGGAUAUACAACUUUUGACCUAUGACCUAUAUACAUUGCAAAAGCUGUCAGUGUAGUCAAGUUUUGAGAAAUGCAAGGGCAAUUUAAUAGCAAUCAUUUCCCUUUGCCAAAGAACCCAGAGGCUACAAGGAUGGAAAUUAAAAGUAAUUGUGAGAUU
rnacentral:lncRNA from 1 species